rnacentral:lncRNA from 1 species
CCUAGGACCAGAGCAGCAGAGCCCGUUCAGCAACCACAAGACCGCAUGACUCAGUACUCACAUGCUGUGGGGGCUCCUCUGACAGAGAAGAUUUCUGCUAUUCUUGUCCUAUUUUCCUAAUCAUCUUUCUAUAUGAAUGACUACAUAAUUCUGAGAAUACCAAAAGAGACAGACACAGAACCAAUCGGAUUCCUUUCUUCUUGAAGCUUCUGCACAGCAAAAGAAACUAUCAACAGAGUGAACAGACAACCUACAGAAUGGGAGAAAAUUUUUGCAACAAUGCAUGUGACAAAGAUCUAAUGUCCAACACUGAUAAGGAACUUAAACAAAUUUACAAGAAAAAAAAAAAAUCUCAUU